UUAAGGUACAUAGAGUCCUGCAUAAUUUCACCUAUAAUUUAAUUUCUUAUGGAUAGCACAGAUGUGGCAACUUUAGCACAAGGAAACCAAACCUUUCUGGAGCUGUCCACUUUGUGUCUAAUAGGAUUCAUGAAGGAUUAUUCUUUUUGUUUUUCUUGCUUUGUAUUAACACUGGAUUUUUAUGUAGCCAGUUUUAUGUUUUGUGUUUAUUUUUUUCCUUUGAGGCUUUUUUUUUGUUUUGUUUUUUUUAAAGGUGAAUAUUAAAGGAACACUAUAUAGUGUCAGGAACACAAACAUGUAUUCCUGACUCUAUAGUCUUUAACUGACCAUUUAGGUGGCUUGCCCCCCUAUAAAAGUUUAAAACUCGCCUUAUUUUCAGCGCCGUGCGGGUCUGCCGGCGCUGGCUCCACCCCCUUUGUGACCAUCAAAUGGCCGAUUUUUAGCCAAUCCCUAUGGGAAAGCAUUGGAUUGGCUAAAAUCGGCAUGUGGGCGGGGCCAAAUGCUGUUUUGGCCAAUCAGGACCUCCUCAUAGAGAUGCAUUGAAUCAAUGCAUCUCUAUGGGGAAAAUUCAGCGUCUCCAUGCAGAGCGUGGGGACGCUGAAUGGCAGGGCUGCUAUUUUGUCAGCACUGACACAGGAAGCACCUCCAGUGGCAAUCUCAGGAGUUGCCACUUGGAGGUGUCCCUAGAGGCAAUGUAAUGUUUGAAAAAAGCCUGAAGGGAACUAUUAUACUCACCAGAACAACUACAUUAAGCUGUAGUUGUCUCUGGUGACUAUAGUGUCCCUUUAAUGUUUUACAAGGUACGCAACAUGUAAAGUGUUUUACACUGCCUAAGAUAUUAAAUUUCCACUUUUUCUGUUCAGCCAUUGAAUAUAUUAAUGUCAAGAGCAGCUCUUUUGAUAUUCCUGGUAGAACAAAUAUUCUGUAAUCUGUUACUCAACAAAAUACUGCAAUUUGCCUUAUUCUUUUGUAAGCAGCAAUAAAUAUGAACUUUUAU